rnacentral:pre_miRNA from 1 species
UGUUCCCUGUUGUUCUGUAGGGUCUGCAAGCACCUUAAAUCCACCCUUUAAUAACAGGGGAGUGGC